UUGCCUCCAUUGAUGGAACUUGAACAAUUUGCUGUUAUCCUUUUGGUUUGCACUAGAAUGCAAAAGAAAAUACUCUCUGUCUGUCUUUGUGGUGGCACAGAUUGAAUAACGGAAUAUAUCU
rnacentral:snoRNA from 1 species